GCUGGUUCAGAGUCCAGAGUGAAACCCAGCAGAGUGGUCAGUUCAGUUUCGCUUUUGAAGGCACCAAAUUGGAAGCAGCUCGCUCUCCCUUUUUUUGUAGGUAAAUCUUCAAACUACUCCUGCAGCAAUUGCUACCAGUUUAAAAUAUUGAGGACUUUUUAGACCUCUCAAUAAUAUGUGUUUAUCUACAACAAACAGAAAACAUGGAGCCUGUUACAGGGUUCAAUUAUUUCUUAUUUGUAUGGACCUCCUGCUUAUGGAGAAGAAAACAAACAGGACCUGUGUGUAAUCCAGAAGAACAUAAAACAGUCCGAGGCCAUUGGUUUCCUGUUUUGAAUGAGCCUGACAAGAGCCUGAGCUGUGCCUGGGAAAUUGCAGAGAUGCAAACAAACUGGUUUGGCAGGUGAUGGGAAAAGAACAGCUGUGUCACCACAUUUAAGGCGAACAUCAGAGGCAAAGGAAGCCUGACUCCUAAGGCAGCUGAGCAGCACUUAUGAGGUGUUGCUGUAGAUUUCCUUAACUUGGUGCUGAGCCCCACUGCACCUCAGGUGAUGUGAUGAUAAAGGCAGGACAGACAACAGCACAGCCUGUUAAUGUACUCAUUUGCAAACUCCUCAACUGGCCUAUGUUAUGUGAAGCUUUUUUUAAUUCAUGGAGUUGAAAGUAUCCUUUUCUGCUUUUCACUGACUUUAUUUAUUCAUUUUACAUGAUUAUGUGCAAGACUCUGGUUUUUCUAUGAAUAUGAUGCCUUCAGACCUGAAAGCACUGUACUGCCAUAUUCUUUUUUGCUGAGUCUUCCAGCGGGAAAACUAUGUAUCUGAUCCUCCUUUCCAUUCUAUAUUUGCUUCUGAAACCCACUAGCAGCAGAGAAGUUAUAUAUGGCCAUAAUCAUUUCACUGAAUAUCAAGUGGGCAACAUGAACCUGAUCCUCUCUGUCCCACAUGGUGGGUCAGUGGAACCUGAAGACAUCCCUGAUCGAGAGGCUGGUUGUUGGGAUGCAGAGACAUCUUCUUGUAUUUUCUCUCAUAAGUGUCCUCCUGGAAGCAUUCAAAAUUAUGAAAAGUGUAAAGUAUCUACCAAACAAGACAGGUAUACAAUAGAAGUGGCUCAGGCUCUUGCUGAGGAAAUCAACAAAAUUACUGAUGGUUUCUUUCCACAUAUUGUUAUAAACCACUUACAGAGGUUCAAGAUGGAUGCCAAUAGGGAAAAGGAAGAGGCCUCCUUUGGAGUUCCCCAAGCAGAACAGGCCUGGGAGGAUUACAUGGGAUUUUUGACCACUGCAAAAUCACAGAUAACAGGGGGCCUGAUUCUGGAUAUCCAUGGACAAGCACAUCCUGAACAGUGGAUAGAAUUAGGUUAUACACUUUCAAAAACUUCUCUUAACUCGGGUGUCCUUUCUGCAUCAAAUUCCUCCAUUAGAUAUCUGGCCAAUCAGCUAGUCGGUGUGUCUUUUGAGACUCUGCUUGCAGGGAACAGAAGUUUGGGUAAAUAUAUUGAAGAACAAAAUAACAGUUAUGUUUGUGUGCCUUCUCCAUCCAACCCCAGCCCAAGUAAUGGGAACUAUUAUAGUGGUGGAUACAUAACAAAGACUUUUGGCUCCCGUCAUUCUGGUGUUGUUGAUGCCAUUCAGAUUGAACUACCACAGUGGGUGAGGGCACCUGAAGAACGUAGCAAAUUCUGUAAAGCACUAGCAAAGGCUGUAAUGAAAUUCUGGCAAACUAACUACUGCAGCCAGUUCAAGCGUGAGUUUCUGCCAUGCUGAAAAAGGUUGUCUUAAUUAAGAUACCUUUCCAUAAAAUAUUAAUGAUCUGAAACAACAGAACAACUGAUACACCUAAAACACUUAAGCCUGAAAUAUAACUGUGGAUGCUAGAGGAAAAAUGGCCUCCAAAGGAAUACAGAGACAUCAACAGAGAAAAUUCACAGCUAAUACUCAACAAGCUUAUUAGCAAACAGCUUUGUGCUAGAUCCAGCAUUGAAAAGAUUGCUUGAAAGAUAUCUUUGGAAGUAUCAAUUGUCUGAUAAGCUUUUCUGUUCUUAAUUUCUUUCCUGUAGCAUCCUUUGUUCUCUAGGAUACAGUAAGUGUCUGUUUUUCUAGUUAAUUCUGUGCAGUGCUUUAGUAGAUUGUCUAUUCAAUAAAAUUGAGUGUCUCUGCUUUUCUUCUGACACUUAACAAAAAACAAAAGAAUGAAUUCAUUCACUACGUCAAGGCAGGUGUUUAGCCACUACCUCGGAAGCACAGCCACAGCACACACAGUGGUUACUUAAGAUGCCGAAUGCCUAGUCACCUCACCUUUCUCCUCCUUUUCCCAGUCUUUUAUUGCUGAGCAGAACAUUAUAUGGUGUGGGAUUUCUCUGGUCAGUUCAUGUCAGCCGUACCAGAUGUGGUCUCUCCCAUCCUGUACACUGAAACUGGGGAUAAAAAACACCUUGAUGACACAAGCCACUCUUAGCAAUAGCCACAACACUGUUCUGUUAUCAUGCUUUUUUAAUCACAAAUCAAAACACAGUAGCAUAUGGAAUGCUCUGAAGAAAACUAGCUUAAUCCUAGCCAGAAUUAGCACAUUCCUUACUCUCCAGAGACGUCUACAUGUCAGCAAUAGAAGUAUUUUUGCAGACUUAUGGCCCCGAAUCUUUAAAAGCAGUCAAUCACAGUAAGGUACUUUUCAUUCUUAACUAUCAAGAAGUGGAGUGAGAUGGGCUUUUCUGUAAGAGUCUAGUUGUAAUCAUGUUAGACUUUUUUCACUGCUUGAAGAACUGGGACGGAUGCAAAGAUUUUAUUUCUAUAUGCUCAUGGAACCUGCUGAACUACUUGCCUUAAGAUGAACAUAAUGUUUACUUGUCUUGAUUCUGUUCUUCACUGAGUUCUUUCUCCAUCGUCAAUUCAGUUAGAGUGGACAUCUCAGGUUUGUUCCACUGAGGAUCUGUAGAAAUAAACUGCAAAUUUUCAAGAGCUAAUAAAUACAUACCUACAAUCAGA